GGUAUCCAAUUCGCUAAGUACGAAAAAAGUUCGUUCCCCAAUUUUUUGAUUGUGGGUCGAUGGGUUGGCGAAUCAGAUUUUUCUUGAACACCUUUAGAAAAGGUACCAUGAUGUAAAAUUUACCAUCUUACCCUUCCUGAGCCACUAAUUUGCACAUGCUAUCUAAAAUUUGUUCCCUGCUCAAACCUACACAAAGCUGGUUUUCCCUCGUUGGCGUCGCUCUCAGGGCUGAAGCGCCGCCAGCAGCAGCCUACUGUCUCAGGUGAAUACAUCAUCGUCAUCGUUAUUUAAUUAUCGUUUUUCUUACUAUGGCAAAUUUCCUUCUCAGAAGACUAGUUUUCUCCCUCCAAAAACGAUUCUUUAGUGCACCAACAACUUCAAAAUCUACUUCAAUCAGAACAACUUCAAAACCCAUCAAAAAUUCUUCAACUUUAGAUAAUACACCCUCUAAAACAAGCUUUAAAAGUACCAUUAAUGAUGUUUCUAGCUCAGUUCCACCAUCAUUUUCUAUUCAAUACCUUACAAACUCAUGUGGGCUUUCUUUAAAUUCUGCAAUUUCAACUGCUAAAAAGAUUACAUUAGAAGAGAAGAACAAAGAACACUUUGAUUCUGUCAUUUCGUUUCUGAAAUCUCAUGAAUUUUCAGAUACCCAGAUUACUGAACUUGUUCAAAAAUACCCUGCUGUUCUUCAAUGUAGGAUAUUAACUAAUCUUAAGCCUAAGAUAGAAUUUCUUAUUGAAAAUGGGAUUCAGGGUUCGAAUGUUCCUAAACUUAUAAUUUCUACUCCUGCUAUCUUUUUUAGAAGUUUAGAUGCUCAAUUGAAGCCAGCAAUGGCAUUAAUCAAGAGAGUUCUUACUUCUCCUGAUAAGCUUUUGGUUGUUGCUCGUCGCGGCUCGUGGAUUCUUACUACUGAUUGGAAAUCUUGGCAUAAGAAUUUAGACUAUUUGAUUGAAUUAGGUGUGCCUAAGCGUCGAGUACAGGAGUUGCUUGUUUUGCAACCUAGGUGUUUGUACCAAGAUAUUGAAAGGAUAAAGUAUGGAGUUGAAAUGGUUAAAAAUAUGGGUGUUAAGCCUGAUGAUGUUAAGUUUAUACAUACGUUUCGUGUGAUCUCAUCGUUGAGCGAGCUGGGUUGGAAGAGGAAGGUAAAGGUCUUUGAGAGUUUGGGGUGGAAUAGCGGUGAGGUUGUAUCAACAUUUACAAAAAGUCCACACUGUUUAUCUUGUUCUGAGGAGAAACUUAGAAAUGCUAUGGAUUAUUUUGUUAAUACUGUGAAGGUCGAUAGGAGGACUAUUAUUAAUUAUCCUAAGAUUUUGAUGUAUUCAAUUCAGAAAAGGGUAAUACCAAGGUACACUGUCUGGAAGAUUUUGGAAGAGAGGAAACUGAUUCGACGUUCGCAGUUCAUUUGGGUGCUCAAUAAAUCAGAAAGCGAUUUCAUUGAGCAGUAUGUUACUAGGUAUUCAGAUCUAAUCCCACAUCUUCGAAGUAUCUACCUGAGCUGCAAGGAGGACUCAAUUACACCUACUAGUAGUUGAGGAAGAUUGCUUCUAACAGCAAAAGGUAAGUCAAGUUAAUAAUCUUGUUUAGUUGGUGGUAGUGGUGAUUCAGUCUUUGAUCUUGUGUGCAGAUUAGCAUUUUGUAGCAUGAUGGAUUCUCAGCGUUGCCUUGAUUGUUCUGUAAUAAUUAAUAUCUCACCUUUUAGUUAAGUUUAGUUCAACUUCUGAAUGCUUUGCCUAUAUACAUGCAACAGUCCUGCAAUGCUGCCCCUUAUUCAGAGUUUGUGAUUAUUCUAAGCCUUCUGCGGAAGGUGGCAGGGGGCAGGGGAUGAAGAUGGCAUAUGGCUGGCCACGCCGAAGCAUGACACCGCCAAGCACGGAUUUAGAUUACUCAGGCAAAGAUGGGCAUGACACUGUUCGUGUUGGUACUCCUUUUCUUUUGUUGUGUAUUAACUAUGGUAUCCUGAAAACAUACUAGUGGAUAAUCAAGCAUGGAAACACUUGGCAAGGUGUGUAGCGUUCUGUGUUCUAGUUUUCUUAAUGAAAGUAGUUUAUAGCUGA